GCCCCAGCCCGUGGCCAUCGGCCUCUUCUUCGCCGCAUGCUCUCCUUGCUCGAGCUCGCCCACUUCCUGGUGCAUCUUCCUCCUCGCCUCCCAUCUCAGGGCCAGGCUGCUCGGCCACGCCCAGCAGCUCCUUGAACGCGUGCCCCUCCGAGCAUCUUGUCCCUUUGUUGGUUGCCAUCUUUCCCAGCUCCCCAGCGCAGGUGGCUGGCUGUGCGUUCCCCUUGCCGGCGUCCUCGUUCUCCCUGCUCGUCGGUCCCCGGGAAAAAAAAACAUCUCCCUCACGGCUGCUCCCAUGGCUGUCUGCAGCCCUAGCCGAGCUCGCUCUCCCCGCCCAGCAGCAAGCAGCUCCUUUCCCCUCGCCAUGAACGCCGUCGAUCCCCUACUGCAGUUCCUCCACGUGGUCUGGUCGUCGACCGCGCGCGUCACCUGCUCGUGGUUAUGGGAAACCAGCGAGCCUCUCCUCACGGCGUAGUUUCCUUGCAUCAUCGUUCAGCCCGAGAUUUAGAUGAGAAGAAAGCUUUAGCGAGGCGCUUGCCAAGUGCUUGGUGAAUCACCUCAACCGGAUGUGGUUGUCGAUCUUGCGGAGUCGAGUCGAGUUUAGUCGUGGUACGCUAGCUGAUUAUGCGAGCUGAAGGACAUGGAUCAGAGCAAACCGGUAUUGGUGGAUUAAUCUUGUGGAUGCAUCAAGCCAGCACCAGAAUGGAAGAUGCUCACCAAGUGGUCGUCAAUUAACAACACUAACGUAGUGUUUAUCCCAGGUUAUAAGUUUGUUCUGUUGUGGAUGGUGCUAAGUGUCGGUGGGCUCGACCUUCUUAUAUAAGUAUAUCCCAUCUUUAGCUUCUUUAUGGAGGACUGUCACUUAAGCUAGCAUGUAUUUUAAAACUUAUAAAUGUUUUAUACAUUCAAAUUGUAAUAUUUUUGAAUCAAAUUCUCUUGUAAUCACUCCGAUGAUAUAUUGUAAUAUGGUUAUAACUUAUAAAUGUUGUAACUUGUAAUCAUUUUGUAAUAAAGAAUUUAUUUCCGCUG